GGGCCCGCACAAGCGGUGGAGCAUGUGGUUUAAUUCGACGCAACGCGAAGAACCUUACCAGGGCUUGACAUCCCCUGACCGCCUGUGAAAGCAGGUUUUCUGGGUUCGCUCAGACAGGGAGACAGGUGGUGCAUGGUUGUCGUCAGCUCGUGUCGUGAGAUGUUGGGUUAAGUCCCGCAACGAGCGCAACCCCUACGAUUAGUUGCUAACGGGUAAGCCGAGCACUCUAAUGGGACUGCCGGUGACAAACCGGAGGAAGGUGGGGAUGACGUCAAAUCAUCAUGCCCUUUAUGUCCUGGGCUACACACGUGCUACAAUGGCCGAUACAGAGGGAAGCGAAGCCGCGAGGCAGAGCAAAUCCCAAAAAGUCGGUCUCAGUUCGGAUUGCAGGCUGCAACUCGCCUGCAUGAAGUCGGAAUCGCUAGUAAUCGCAGGUCAGCAUACUGCGGUGAAUACGUUCCCGGGCCUU
rnacentral:rRNA from 1 species